rnacentral:tRNA from 1 species
GCCGGUGUAGCUCAGUGGCAGAGCAGCUGAUUCGUAAUCAGCAGGUCGUGGGUUCAAGUCCCACCGCCGGCU